UUGAUAUCAUUUACAAUUUUCUUUAACCCUAAAGAGGUAAAUGCCAUUACUGUAACCGUUCAAGGCCAGGUUACUCUAAAAUUUAAAAAAAACUCGCAUUUUUUUGCCUGUUAAUUGUUUGAAAAUAUUCUUAGAAACAAUAUAGCACUCUUGGAACUAAGAGGUAAGUAUGGAAAAGGGGAGAGCGGAGAAUGCCAAGCGGUAAAUCCUCACGAACCAAUAUUUUAAUCGCCAUUUUCUCGAACCAGUUUUUUUCAACCAAAAAUAUUAAUAAUUUUUAAUUAAUAUAUUUAUGCACCUACUUAUUUACAAAAACCUUAAUUUAUAUAUAUUUAACGUGGUUGGGAGAACCUGGCCUUAACCACCAAAUUUAUCUCCAGAAGGGCCUCCAAAAAAAGAUGUCUGGCGAUGAGGAAGAUAUUUGGGCUUCAAAUUAUCUGAAACAAGAAAAACAAAAACUAUUUAGUAUUAUAAUGUAUGAAUACAGUCAGUGAUCGAAAGAACAGGCACAAUUUUGAUUUUUGACAAAAUAAUGACUUCAAAAAAAAAAAUUUUUUUUUUGUGAGAAAUUCUACACAUUUAGUGGAUUGUAUGCCUUCGAUCAUUAAAGUUGGUUGAACCAAUGACACUAAGUACGAAGGCCACGAGACGUCCUUAAUGACAAGAUUAUAUCUGCGAGACUUAUUGUCGGAUCAAUCUCAGAUUUUCUUAAAAUAUUCUCAAAUAUAUGUGCACUGGAAAAAUUACAAAAAGAAAAUAAAUAUUUUUAAAAUUAAAUGUGGCCUUAAGAAAAGCGAAGAUUUUGAGGAUUCUAACUAAAGUAAUAUUUCAGUUCAAAGACAUUUGACUCAAUUUGUAGCGAGAAACUGUUUUUAUUUGAACAGACUGAUCUGACGCUUUAUUUGUGUUAACAAAAAAUACAUACAAAAAAGGUCGCAGACCUCUGAGAGUUCAAAAAUUGUUCACUUCUUGAACAACUUUCCAUAAUCAAAGUACAAAUAAAAUAAUAAUCAAACCUUUGAAACCCCUUCCCGUGCAAGCAUAAAAGAAAAUUUAUAACCAUGAAAUUGUGGUAUGCAAGUCAAGAGAAGCUACUUCGCCUACUAAAGCUUUUCACCACUACAACUUCCGCCCAAAAAAGCAAAGUUAUUCAAACUUAGCAUUCUUAGCGACAAAAUUACACGAUAUGGAUUUUUCAGCGUAAGGAUAAUAAAUUUUUUUUUUGCCACGCUACCAAAUACUGGGUGAGAAAAUGAGCGUGAGGACUAAACAGUGAUUGAAUAGAAAAGGAAUUUCAACAUAAGGCACACUGCUUACCACUAGCUGUUUACCACAUUCAGGGUAGGUCAAGCGCCAUAAGGUAUGCAACUGAAUUUUGCUACCCUCAACACUUUGCUGACGAUAGAUGGCGCUAUGAGCAUUAAGCAUAGAGAGAACUGUUAUUUUGAGUGACUGCUAGAGUACGUGAGUGAAAUUUAGUUAUAUAAAGCAAGUGAAAGUGCUACGGUGGUGAGCAUAAAAUUUUCUCAGCAUUUCUAAAUUCACCAGCUUUUCGCAUUCGGACCUAAGACACUCUUUUUGUGGUUGUACCUAGCAAUAUUCGCUGAACGGCAUUUGCGCUGAAUGAGAAUAAUGCACAUUCCUCCACAUGCUUUUUCUCCGAAAUAAAUGUAGGUGUAUGUGUGUACGCUAGGAGUAAGCGCUCAGUCGCUCAUUUCUCUCUUCUGUGUAGAACUUUAUGCUCCCAACUUUGGAAGGAUACAGCCAGCAGCCGGUUGGCUUAUUUGCAUUGAGCAAAUUUUCACCUUGUUUUUGAAGUUCGUUGCCCACGAAUAGCGCACUCGGCUUUCUAGCUUCUGAGUUUGUGUACAUGUGUAUGUUGUAAACAGCUGUUAAUGGUAAUUCUAUGCUCAUGGGCUCUUUGGAACUCGGGUUUUCGACACUUUUGCUGAGCAUUCGACUACACGUUUGUAUUUGCUGAACUGAGCUUUAAACGGGAGUGCAAAAUAUGCUCACAUUACAGUACUCUUGAGUGUAUGUUUUUUGUAUGGAUGUGAGUUUUUCUAAAAAGUUAUGUUCUUCAAGUGCGUUUACCUCAGUCGUGUUAGGUGCUGCAACCGGUUAAGUUGAGCUAGACGGGAGAUCGACUAUUCGUCGUUUAGUUUUAUAGUCGAAUAAGGUGUACCGAGUGUGUUUAGGUUCCGAUACGCGCUGACUAACGGUAACAAAUGAAUUCAUUGGUUGUUUAUUGUGCGAGUAACAAAGAUUUUCGAAUUUAGUUAUUUUUUUGCGCGUGUCUGUGUGUAUCGGAGAUACGUGUGCACAUAAUGAGCUAGUGGCAAAAGGUGAAUUAUACUCCAUAAAGUAUCUUGUGUGUGCGAGUGAGUGUAUUUUGCUUACAUACAUAUAAGCGUACAUAUGUUUAGCAAACAAUUUUUUUUUGCUCCAAAAGCACUUUGAUGCUGUCGAAGUGUGCGGCAAGUGGUUAGUGAGAGUUUUUGUUGUUUAAAAAAAUAAUUAUAAUAAUUGGUGCUUUGUGCUAAAAUAAAAGAAGAAAGAAGAUUAAAAAAGAAAAAUAUUUAGACAAAAAUGUCUGUUGUUAGAUCUGCCACAGCGCUUCCAUUCCGUGUGUGGCAGAUACAUAAGUGCUGUUAUUUAGGCAUUUAAGUGGAUUUUUAUUAGCCUCCUCACGCACAUACACUUGAGUAGCGCCUAUAUUGACUGCCCCAUACAUAAGUACAUACAUAUCUGCUACAUAGCGCCUAUAUUGACUACCCCAUACAUAAGUACAUACAUAUCUGCUAAAGCGUUAUCAGCCAAAAAUGAUUGACCCCGCGCGUGUGUUUAUACACUCAUUGAACGCCAACAUGUUAACCAUAUACACGCAUGCACAUACAUGUACUUGAGAAAAAAUGCCAAAACGUCAUUGAAGAGUUUCAAAAAAAAAAUAUAAUUUUCCGGAAAAAGUUUUAAAUUUACGCGAAAAGUUGUGCGUUGCAGCAUUUAAGCGUAAACGUUUGUGAAAACCGGUCGAUUAAGUAGAUAGUACAUGCGCACAUAUAUACGUUUAUCGCGUGGCAUCCUCGCGCGUAGCGAAGUAAAACGUAGAAAAUGGUAAAAACGAAGAAAUACUAAUAAGCCGAAAAAAGCGCAUGAAACGAAAAAGUCUUCGCGAACGUGUGCAAUUAAGUAAUCGAAAUGAGUUUAAAAAUCAUUGCGCUGGAAAAUUAACGACAGCACAGACAAAUUGGCUGUCAGCCACCUGCGAAGUCACCUGCAAGGCUAUACGCGCGCGUCUUGCCAACUCUCCCCUCCCUUUCGCUGCUGUCUUCUUCGGCGGCAAAAUUUACUUUGUACAGGCAGCUCGCACUGUGUGGCAAUUGAGUCAAAAUGUCAAAUAAUUCACUGUGCAAUUAUUGACAAAAUUAUCGCGAACAAAGUGCACAUCCCCAGCUACAAGCCGAUUUAAGUGAGCUGCUAAGAUACAUAGUCGACCUGCUUAUAGCCAGUGCAGACGACAACUAUUAAUUAUUAAUCAAGCACUCAUGGCAAGCGCUGAUGAUGAAAACCAAUACAAAUCAAUAGGACUGCAAUUUGCAAUUAUUUAUAAAUACCUAUGAAAUUACACAGUGCAUUCUUUCCAACAAUUAAUUAACAAUGAAAAAGGUAAACAAAAGCAAAGAAAAAAAUAAUGAAAACAAAUACAAUAAAAACAAAAGUAGCGUAAAAAUGCGAUACGAAAAGCGAAGCUGCCAAGUUAAAUUGCAAUAAUAAAAGUAAUAGUGAAAUAAUUAAAUGAUAUAAAUGUGAAGAAAACAACCAAAAGUUUUAAAAUAAAUAAUAAGCACAAGAGUACCUAUGUAAGACAUUAAAAAUUAAUGUUAAAUUAUGUAUUCAAGUGGCAAAGAUUUUGCAACAAUGUCAACAAAAAUUACAAAAUCAAAAAUUAAUAAUAAUUUCCAAGCACGCAAAAGCCAUUGUAAUAGCCGCAGCGAUCCACAUGCAACACAUUUUAUAAAUGUAUGUGUGCAAGUUAUAGCAUACCUGUAAUUGUAUGCGUGCGUAAAUAAAUCCUUUUAGCAACCGAUAUCAAUUACCAAAAUAAAAAAAAGUAAACAUAUCAAAA
rnacentral:lncRNA from 1 species